AUUGAACGCUAGCGGGAUGCCUUACACAUGCAAGUCGAACGGAGUGGCGAACGGGUGAGUAAUGUAUCGGAACGUGCCCAGUAGCGGGGGAUAACUACGCGAAAGCGUAGCUAAUACCGCAUACUAUUGGAGCGGCCGAUAUCGGAGUAGAUAGUUGGUGGGGUAACGCCGCCCCAAGGCGACGAUCCGUAGCUGGCUUGAGAGGACGACCAGCCACACUGGGCCUGAGCAACGGCCCAGAUGCCUACGGGAGGAAGCAGUGGGGAAUUUUGGACAAUGGGUGAAACCCUGAGCCAGCCAGCCCGCGUGUGCGAUGAAGGCCUUCGGGUUGUAAAGCACUUUUGGUAGGAAAGCGGUACCUGCAGAAUAAGCACCGGCUAACUACGUGCCAGCCGCCGCGGUAAUUC
rnacentral:rRNA from 1 species